rnacentral:rRNA from 1 species
UACGGGGGGGGCAAGCGUUGUUCGGAAUUACUGGGCGUAAAGGGCUCGUAGGUGGCCAACUAAGUCAGACGUGAAAUCCCCAGGCUCAACCUGGGAACUGCGUCUGAUACUGGAUGGCUUGAAUUCGGGAGAGGGAUGCAGAAUUCCAGGUGUAGCGGUGAAAUUCGUAGAUAUCGGGAGGAACACCAGUGGCGAAGGCGGCGAUCUGGGAAGAUACUGACGCUGAGGUGCGAAAGCGUGGGGAGCAACAGG